rnacentral:rRNA from 1 species
AAUAGAUACCCGGGUAGUCCACGCCGUAAACGUUGGGCGCUAGAUGUGGGGACCUUUCCACGGUUUCCGUGUCGUAGCUAACGCAUUAAGCGCCCCGCCUGGGGAGUACGGCCGCAAGGCUAAAACUCAAAGGAAUUGACGGGGGCCCGCACAAGCGGCGGAGCAUGCGGAUUAAUUCGAUGCAACGCGAAGAACCUUACCAAGGCUUGACAUACACGAGAACGGGCCAGAAAUGGUCAACUCUUUGAACACUCGUGAACAGGUGGUGCAUGGUUGUCGUCAGCUCGUGUCGUGAGAUGUUGGGUUAAGUCCCGCAACGAGCGCAACCCUCGUCGCAUGUUGCCAGCACGUUAUGGUGGGGACUCAUGUGAGACUGCCGGGGUCAACUCGGAGGAAGGUGGGGAUGACGUCAAAUCAUCAUGCCCCUUAUGUCUUGGGCUUCACGCAUGCUACAAUGGCCGGUACAAAGGGCUGCGAUGUCGUAAGGCGGAGCGAAUCCCAAAAAGCCGGUCUCAGUUCGGAUUGAGGUCUGCUAACCG